rnacentral:rRNA from 1 species
CGCGUAGAAUCUGGCUNUAGGUCUGGGACAACCACUGGAAACGGUGGCUAAUACCGGAUGUGCCGAAAGGUGAAAGGUUAACUGCCUGGAGAUGAGCUCGCGUCUGAUUAGCUAGUAGGUGUGGUAAGAGCGCACCUAGGCGACGAUCAGUAGCUGGUCUGAGAGGACGAUCAGCCACACUGGGACUGAGACACGGCCCAGACUCCUACGGGAGGCAGCAGUGGGGAAUUUUCCGCAAUGGGCGAAAGCCUGACGGAGCAAUACCGCGUGAGGGAGGAAGGCUCUUGGGUCGUAAACCUCUUUUCUCAGGGAAGAACAAAAUGACGGUACCUGAGGAAUAAGCAUCGGCUAACUCCGUGCCAGCAGCCGCGGUAAUACGGAGGAUGCAAGCGUUAUCCGGAAUGAUUGGGCGUAAAGCGUCCGCAGGUGGCUGUGUAAGUCUGCUGUUAAAGAGUCUAGCUCAACUAGAUACAAGCAGUGGAAACUACACGGCUAGAGUACGUUCGGGGCAGAGGGAAUUCCUGGUGUAGCGGUGAAAUGCGUAGAGAUCAGGAAGAACACCAGUGGCGAAGGCGCUCUGCUAGGCCGUAACUGACACUGAGGGACGAAAGCUAGGGGAGCGAAAGGGAUUAGAUACC